GGCUAAAUAGCUCAAUGGUAGAGCGGUGGCUUUGUAAGCUACGGGUUGGGGGUUCGAGUCCUCUUUUAGCCU